UUGAGGGGAUUACAUGGUGGAUAUCUGUAAAUAAUACUUGCAAGGAAAUAUAGUGGUCUGUGGGCCCUGCCAAUGUUCGACCACAUCUGCACAAUUUCCCAACAAGGCGGCUGUCCCCUUCCUCCCUCACCACUCCAUGUGUGUCCCUCCUGAAGCUGCAAACUUGGUUGAAGAGGAUGGCCUUCCCCCAAUAGAGACGAACUGGUCUUCGGUCUAGGGUAUACAAGUAGCUGCACUCCCUGGCUAGAACCUCCAAACAAGCUCUCAGUCCUCAGCAUCAUCAUCAUCAUCAGUGCUAUGAUUUAAAAAAAAAAUUAAACAUUU
ensembl:misc_RNA 7SK 7SK RNA